GCCGAGUUGGUGCCACUGUACUCCAGCCUGGGCCACAGAGCGAGACUCCGUCUCAAAAAAAAAAAAAAAAAGAAAAUAUCCAGUGGGAACAAACCAUAGGGGAAUGAGUACCCUGAACUUGCCAGUGCUCUUGACAGGGUUGGAGGGGGGAGUUGGCUCUGGGGUCAGCAAAGCAGCUGACCAAAGAGCCCAUCUUGAGGCCACUCCUGAACGGCCCGUGUGCUCUGGGAAGACAUGUCCAUGGGGAUGUGGGCAGGAAGGGAGCCGGAACAUUUGGAGGCUCAAGUUGCUUUGCUGCGGGACCCCCUUGCCUAAGCAUAAAAUAGAAGGUGUUUUACGUGAAAGGAAACUCAGCUAUCUCAGGAUGUCAGGCUCUAGAGAGUGGGGCCAGAGCCCUCUGCAGCUGUGCAUGGAACACCAGAAGUGGCAGUGGAUUACAUGUGGGGAGUCUGGCCCUCACGGGGCACCUGGUUUUCUGCCCCACCCUCCCGACAAGCAAGAUGUGAGCAGAAAAAUACUAGUUUCCAGACAUGAGUCAGCACACUGGGUGAGUCUAUGAACUCCAGGCCAUAAGUUUGCCUUUGGCCAAGCAGAUGAGGCCCUAACCCAGAGAUGUGGGUAAUUAACAUAAUUUGCGUAAUUAAUUGGCCUGAUCUGGUCUCAUCUGGACCAUACAGGUCUGGCUAACAUUUGAGAUAUCAUUAGAGGUUAUUACAUGUUUCCCUAUUGACUUUGCUUGUGGGAGACUCUUUUUGAGUUUACCUGGUGGGGUGAGAAUUACUUCAUCGGGCUUACAGAGUGAAAUGCUGUGUCUGUAUUUUCAGCUCAGUGGUAUGCGGAGAAGGAGACAGGAGGCUGCGAGAUUGGCUUCUGGUAAUCCUAAGGCAAUUUAUAGAGGGGCAGACAGUCAGUCUAGACCAUCUUCAAAAUCCCAUCUGUAUUAGUUUGCUGGGGUGGCCAUAACAAAAUGCCACAGGCUGGGGGCUUAAACAACAGAAAUGUAUUUUCUCAGUCUGGAGGCUGAAAGGCUGAGAUCAAGGUGUUGGCAGGGUUAGUUUCUUUUGAGGCCUUUCUCUUUGGCUUGGAGAUGGCUGUCUUCUCCCUCUGUCUUUGUGUGGUCUUCCUUCUGUGCCUGUCUCUGUCCUAAUCUUCUCUCUGUUUUUUGUUUUUCAUUUUAUUUUAUUUUAUUUUAGUUUUUGAGACAGGGUCUUGCUCUGUCACACAGGCUGCAGUGCCAUGGCGCGUUCAUGGCUCAAUGCAACCUCGACCUCCCAGGCUUAAGCGACUCUCCCAUCUCAGCCUCCCAAAGUGCUGCAAUCCCAGGCAUGAAUGAGCCACCAUGCCCGGCCAAUCUUCUCUUCUUAUCAGGACAUCAGUCCUGUUGGAUUAGGUCCCACCAGUAUGACCUCACUUGACCUUAAUUACCUCUUUAAAGACUCUAUAUCCAAAUACAGUCACAUUGUGAGGUAUGGGCAUUUAGGACUUCAACAUGUAAGUUUUGGGGGACACGAUCCAGCCCAUAACAUCAUGCAGUCCCAAGAUGUAGAGAGUCUGGGUUCCCUCUCUGCUGCCAACUCCCCACAAACCCAUGCAUGACAUAUCCUUUCUGGACCCCAAUUUUUCCAUCUGCUCUGCCUCCUUCAAUUGAGAGGCUCAAAUUACUUAAUGUACAAGCAAGGGCUUUGUAAACCUCAUAGCAGUGGACCCCAGAGGUGCAGCACCAUCCCUAAGGAGCGUUUUGGAAAUCUGUGGGUGCAUGCGUUGGGUUGUCACAAUAUUUAGGGGGCUUCAUGACAUUGAGUGAGCAGGAGCCAGGGAGAUGUCCAGCGGUGUGAGAGAUGGUCACACAGGAUGAACUGUCCUGUGUUAUUCACCACUUUCUAAUAUCUUUUGUGCAUUUAUAUAGCUGAAAGAAAACCCCACAAUCAUUGGAACCUAGUACCUAAUUCUGUUUUACAUAUAAACACAAAGAAUUUAUUUUUGCAAAAUUUAAAUGUAUCCUUUUUACAGAAAAGCACAGUCAACCAAAUAGAGGGAAGAUUGUACCUUGUUUUGUUUGAAACUUUAAUAGAGUAUGCACCAGUUCAGAAAAUGCAUGUUGAUAUGGUUUGGCUGUGUCCCACCCAAAUCUCAUCUUGAAUUCCCACGUGUUGUGGGAGGGACCCGGUGGGAGAUAAUUUAAUUAUGAGGGCGGUUUCCCCCAUACUGUUCUCGUGGUAGUGAAUAAGUCUCACGAGAUCUGACGGUUUUAUAAGGGGAAACCCCUUUCGCUUGGCUCUCCGAUUCUCUCUUGCUGCUGCCCUGUCGGAAGUGCCUUUCACCUUCCGCCAUGAUUGUGAGGCCUCCCCAGCCACGUGGAACUGAGUCCAUGAAACCUCUUUUGCUUCCCGGUCUCAGGUAUGUCUUUAUCAGCAGCAUGAAAACGGACUAAUACACCUGUCUUCUACAACGCACAUUUAGAAAAUGUGUCUCCAAUGGCAGCGCUGUUUGGUGCUUGAGUCACAACGCAACAUUGCCCCGCUGCUCUUUGCGUGUAGCUAUCUCAUCCACCAUAGUCCUACAUGCAGGUGUCUACCUCAUUAUGUUUUCUACUAUAGCUGUGAAAUAUAGAAUCAUGAUUUGCUUUUCUUCUGUGCUUUCUCUGAUAGUCAAGGCAGUACAUAUUUUUUUUGAAAUUAUGAAUUGGGUUGUUACAUUAUCCGUGAAUUUCAUUCAAAGAUAGUUAAAGUGAGUGUUGAAUAUACAUUUAAAUAGGGGCGAUUACAUAGGGGUUGAGACGCCGUGCUCUAAGGCACCACUGAGCGCCCUCUUUUGCUGGGUAGUUCAACAGUGGCUGUCUUGGGGAUUGGCUUUUCUUCAGCUUCCUGGCAUAGCUGCACCCCACACAGCCCAGCAUGAGUGCAUGGCAGCAAAGCCCUCUCCAAAGGAAGGCAUCUUCUUUGCUUUUGUCAUUUCUCCUGUCUCUAACACCAGUGAGGUGCUGGCAUCUGCACUGGUCACUUAUCAUGAGUUUAGAUGACAAGGUUGGUCACCGUGGAGGCCUCUGGACCUCUGUCCUCCUGCUCGCUGGCACAGGAGAGCUUGUGGGUGAGGGCCCAUGGUAGAAAGAACAUUUCCCCUGAGCCCAGUUACCUGGGCCAAGUAGCUGGCUACAGCCUGGAGAAGCCAGGUCCCCUGGAAGCCGGGCUGGGGCGGAGCUGUGGGGACUGGCAUGGUCAUCACGACGUCACUGGGUGGGGCAGGGCGUUGGCGGGAAUCCACACCAGGGCAGGCCAGCUUGCCUCCCUGGCCACUUGUUUGUGUUCCAGCUUUGCUCCAAGCCUGGGUCCAGCCCCUGCCCCACUUUGGGGCUUCGGGGUUAACUAGUGGCACAUUUAAAUGAGGUCUGGCUCCCCAGAGACAGUCACCCUCUCCUGGGCGCUGCCUCUGAGCAGGCAGAUCCUGCCCCAACCUCUCUCCCUGGCCCAGAUUACCUUACCUGGGCUUAUUGCUCCAGGAAGACAUGGAACACCCACCAGAGAGAGGCCUCCUUGGUGUCUGUCAGAUCCUGUCCUCGCGGAUCCCUUGGGGGACCAAGGGCCACGUUCUGUUGUUUCUGCACCCCUACUGGGAAACACCAGGAGGAUCCUUCCUCCACUCCCUCCUCCUCCAGGCCUCCAUCUGAGAAGUCCCAGACACAAAGCCAUGCUCCUUCCUUGCCUACACACUGCCUCACCCCCACAGCAGCCCUGCAGCUCCUAUGGAGAGCGUCCUCCAUGAUCUGCGGCAGUGCUUGUCAAAAUGCAGAUUUCCAGGUCCUACUCAUAAAUUCUGGGGGUGCAGCCCUGGAAUCAGAAUUUUGAUAUAAGCUCUGAAGAUGAUUCUAUAGCUUUGGGAGCCCCUGGCUACAGUAUAAAGCUCAAAAGUCUGGAUGGCACCUGUGACCUACUCAGUUGGGUUCUCGUCUAUCUAUCCAGCCUCCUUUGUUGGAACCCGGCUCACAUUGAACUUGUCAUUGUUCCCCAACAUCCUGGGCUCUACCCUUUUCCAAUUCCUCUACACAUGCUCUUCCUUUUGCCUGGAGGACUGUCUUUCCUGUUCCCACUUUGCAAAUGCCUACCUAUCUUUUAGGACAAGAUCAAACAGCACCUCCUCCGGAAGCCUUCCUGCCUCCCUCCUGAUGAGCGUUUGCUUCUGCAGCGUGAUGUUAUGCCGUGAUUACAGCACUUCCCACCAUGCUCUGUCUUCGUCCCUUUACCCCCACACAGCAAUCGCCCCCAUCCAAUGUCAGCCCCUGGAAAGCAGGGCGGGUAUCUUAUUUAUCUUUAAAAUGCCAGCAACUACCACCAUUCCUGGUAUAGAGUGGAUAGUUGUAAAUAUUUAUGUAAGUUUAAGUGGUCUCUGGGACCCUGAUUUUCCAUCUUUUCUUAAAUGGGAUUCUGCCUUAGGCUGCUGGGCUUCAUUUAAACCUCAGUCAUUAAAAAGCAGUUCCUUUGUUUCCUCAGCAUGGUUCAUAUUUAGCCAAAGAGAUUUAUUUCUCCAAUAAACCCCACUCUCCAAACAGCCACAUUCAUCUGUUCCUCCUACUGAGAAAUGAAAGGGAGUCACCGGCUGCACCUAGAACUCCUGUGUCAGUGAAUGCAGAAAAGAGGACCAGGAAAAUUCAUUUAAAUCUUACUGCCAGCUGGUGAUCAAGUGGCUUCCCUGGCAUUCGUCUCCUGUGUUUGCAGGGUUAAGUGAGACUCUUUGGGAGGUGGGGGAAAAAUUCAAAACUCCUUUUUUGUUCUAUCAACUGUUUUUAAUUUAAUUUAAUUUUUUAACAGGAUUUCGCUCUGUUGCCCAGGCUGCAGUGUAGUGACUUGAUCUUGGCUCACGGCAGCCUUGACCUCCUGGAUUCAAGGGAUCCUCCAGCUUCAGCCUCCUGAGUAGCUGUGACUACAGGCACAUGCCACAUGCCCAGCUAUUUUUAAUUUUUGUAGGGUUGGAGUCUUGCUAUGUUGCCCAGGCUGGUCUUGAAUUCCUGACCUCAAGCGAUCCUCCCACCUUAGCCUCCCAAAAGUGCUGGGAUUACAGGCGUGAACCACUAUUCCUGCACUUUCUUUAAUCUUUAAUAUGAAAACAGGCAAUCUCAGGUUUGUGUUCUAAGCAGGUGGCUAACCCAUCAGGGAUUUUAGUGAUGACAAGGAUGGUUGUUAGCAAACCCAUAACUCCAUAAGAGACCAAGCUGGGGAUAUUUCCCAGCUCCUGGUGACCCAAGACUGCUGGAAAAUUUCUGCCUCACAUUGUGAAUUCAGGUACAAAUUCAGUCUGGAGAGGUGAGUGGGGCUGAAAGUCAUCUGAUUUUUUUCAGGACAGAUCUCGUCCCUUUUGUUUUUCCUAGUCAAGAAUUUUAUAGCUCUAAGGUUUCCUGCUGCUAAACUGUUUUCAUAGAUGCAAACCAACUGAUCUGGUAGAGAGGCUAUUGUAUUCUCUGCCAACUGAUUUCCAGCAGAAUUAAGGGGCUUCAGGGAAGGGAAGUAUGGCAAACACUAAUUGGACUGGCUGUGCACUGAGUUGGACACAAACAAUAUAGUCUUGCUCCUAGAAUUUUGAAACUUCAGAGUGUGAAAGGAACUUUGAAGGUCACCUUGUCCAACCACCUCCCCACUCCAUGCUUGAAUUCCGUUUGUGACAUCCCCAGCAAAUGAGGAUUAUCUAGCCCUUGUUCAAUCUCUUUCAAUGCCAGAGAACUCAUUACCCUUGGAGGCAGCCCAUUCCAUUUUCAUAUUGCUCUACUAGCCAGCUUUUUCAUAUGCUAGGCUGACAUCGGCUUCUUGCCUCUCUGUGACUUCCAAGGGUUGGACUUGCUUGUGCCUGCUUAUGUACAUAGAGAAAGUCUUCAAAGAUUUGUGGUUCUCUCCUGUCUAGGGUCAUCACGUCUGGUUCCCACACACUACCUCUGUGGAUGAUGGGAAUCUACGUUAUUUUUAUCCUUCUUCCACAUUAUGGAGGUAUCUGACAAAGAGCCAUUUGGGGUGAACUAUCAGUGCAUAGUUCACUUCUCCCCAAGAUGGGCAUGUGACUUCCAUGCACAGCCAUCCACACCAGAAUGGUGGCUGCCACUAUUUCAGUACCUGGCAUAGUGCUAGGCACAUAGGGAUACCCAAAUAGUUAUUGGAUAUAUAUGAGGAUGGAUGGAUGGAUGGUUGGAUGGAUGGAUGGGUGAUUGAAUAAAUAAAUAGAUAAAUGGAUGAAUGAAUAAAAGAAUGACUCAGUACAUGGAGAAAGCAAACUUGGAAAUAUUUAGAUCAAUCAAUAUCUAUGGAAGCUCCUCUAUACCAAUAUUGUGCUGUGUAAGGGAAGGGAGUGCUGGGAGACAAACGAGGUGUUUACAAAGAAGUACAGACAUAAUCUUUCUCCUAAUGUUGGAAACAAGCUAGACCCAAACCUGUGAAAACUUCUCCCUCUCCAGUUCUGAUGUUUAUGGACAUGUUGCAUAACAACUCACCAGGCCAGGCAUGGUGGUUCCUGCCUGUAAUCCCAGCUACUCAGGAGGCCGAGGUGGGAGGAUCACUUGAGCCUGAGAGGUAGAGGCUGCAGUGAGCUGUGAUCACACCACUGCAUCCAGCUGGGGCAACAGAGUGAGACCCUGUCUCAAAACAAAAACCAAAACAAAACCCAAAAGCCAGAAACCAAAACCAAACAAACAAAAAAUAACUCACUAGCAACAUAGUAAUUUGGGAUUGAAGUUAGAGCUAGAAGGGAUGUUAUUGACGAAUGGGUCACAUCUCCUAUUUUGCAGUAGAGAGCUGGAGAGGGAAAUGACUUACCCAAAAUCAGGACCAAUUCUGGAAUCCCUGUCUCUUGGCUCCUACACCUCUUUCCAGUAUGCUUUCUUUGUUUGGAGAUUAUUUUGUUUUCAUCCAAAUUUCUGUGUAUUUGCUCCAAAAUCGGCUUUGCAUUGACUGUGUAGACCUGGCUUUGGAUUCCAUAGACAACAUUUAUACAUUCACUUACUCAUUCUCCAUCCAGCCACACUUGGGGAAUAUCUGUUAUGUAUGAAGCCCUGUGCUAGGCUUUGGGAAUAGAAGAAUGAGACAUGGCCCCUUCCGUGAAAUAAUCUAGCAGAGAGAAAGACCCAUAAAUAAGCAAAAGGCAAUGUACUCAGGCUACAGAAGAGGUGUAGGUGCCCAGAAAAAGGAACAGCUAUCUCUGCUUGGGGACACAGAGAGGACCUUCCAGGCUUGAUAACAACUAAAGGGGUCUUGAAGGAUCAAUAGGAGUUUGCUGAUGGAUAAGUAGGGGAAGGCAUUUAAGCAGAGAAAAGGCAUUUGCUGUGGCAAGAGGCUUGAAAAGACCUAGCACCUGCUACAGCCCAGGGGAGGGAAGGAGCGUGGAAUGUAAGUUCACAAGCAGACCAGGCCCAUACUCUAAAAGGGUCUCCCGAGGCCCACCAAAGGGCAGUGUAGGAUGGCCUUAGACAUUCCGCAAUGAUUUAUUCUUGUGUCCUGAUGAAAUUUUGGACAGCAAGAGCCUCAGAAAAUGAGUCCAUUUGAAGUAGGAUUCUUUCAAAGACUUCAGUAUAACUUAGGAGUUAAAGAGUAAGCUACAAGUCAUAACUAGUUGUGCAAAGUGCAAUGCUUUGCAGAAAUUAUUUAGAUUUUUUGGCUUUCCCUUUGAUCAUUAGUAUCAAGGUGAAACAAUUCUCCAUGUGUGUAUAUUAUAAAUAACGUUGAAGUUAGUCUCCCUGGGUUUUUAUGUAAGGUUCGUAACAACCUCUAUGUGGAAGCCAGCAUGAAGUUGAAGAAAGCUUCAUGUGAUUUAAAUUUAAAGAUGGGCCAGAUAUGACCUGUGAUCAAUUUUCAGCGGCUGUUGUGCACUUGGGUUGCAGAGACAUUAAGGAAAGCUUGUAAACUACCUAAGAGAGCACUUAAAAAUCUAAUAAAUAAGAAAUACAAUGCCACUGUCAGAAGCCUUGAUGGAGGUUGGGGGGAGCCAGAGAAGUAAUUUGUGCAAUAAGUCCUGUGAAUUCCCAUUACUACUACUACUUUUUUUUUUUUCUUCAGACAGGCUAAAAAUAGAAGCCCCAAAUAAAUAUACAUCAGAGGUAGAAAAGAGAAACUGGUGAUUUUGAGUGAAUUGCUGCUUUAUGGCCUAA
rnacentral:lncRNA from 1 species